GUAGAAAAUGCAUAAUUUGUCCUCAAUCUUCCUCUGUAGUAUGUGUUGAUUGACUGACACUCAAUCUGCUGUGAAGUAAUUAUAGACUGAUAUGACAAGGAUUCAUUAGUUCAAAUGUAUAGAUAGAUUAUCCUUGUAAUCUGGACCCUGUCAAAUGUCCUUAAUUAGUUUACAAUCAAUAAUGUAUGGGUCUGCGUGGAAAGUGCAAGGCCCACUCAAUAAUAUACUUAUUCUAGUUGAUUCAUGGUAUUGUCAACAUAUUGUAAUGCCCUCCAGAGAUUGCUCUUGGUUUAGAGUUCAACAUGAGGCCAGUAGUAUUGUUAGAUGGAGUGGACUAAUGCCGUUUGUCGAAUUUUCUGGUUGAACACAAAAAAAAACACUACAUUCGUGUAAUGCUUCCUGUUUUGUAAAUAAAUGUUGACCACUGCAAUUACAUUACCGUAUUAUUCUCCCUUAAUGAGAUUCUACUCACUGGACCCACACUGGUUGAAUCAACUCUGUUUCUACGUCGUUUCAAUGAAAUUCUGCUAAACCAACGUGUAAUAUAUGUUGAUUUGACUUCUGCGCCCAGUGGGUACCUUGUAAAACCAAUGUCAUUGUUAUUGCUGCUAGCUUGAUUCUUCCCAGCUGGCAUUCUACUUGCACCUCUCGAAGGGUCAUUCAUGUAAGUGUUUUUCUUUGGGUAGGUAACUAUGAUCGCUAUUUGUCUUUCUAGUUCUGCUACACCAGUAAUGGCAUGCCCCGCAUGACACAAACAUUUCCAUGUGAUUUCAGAUUAAGUUCUUAAGGAACUGCUUCACUCCAAUGUUUACAGCCAGAACUGGAUGCACCUGAAAUGUAACAUACAAUACCAUAGUCGACACAUAACACAAGUUCACCUUUUAAUGUAGAAAACAAAUUGGUCUGCAUAUUUAUAGGACUUUGUGUGAAAUAUAUGGGAUAUCAAAGCGUCCUCUCAAGGUGGAAUGGGCUGGCUACUUUGGACCGUCAAAACUGGCCAAGUUUUUCGAUUGAUACCCUUUAAGGCUCCAGAAAGAAGAAGUCAACUGAAAUUCCCGUUUUCCUGUCCUUUGCACUGAAGGCAAAUGGCCAUUGACAAGGAUCCCUCUGUGACUGUUUUCUUGUCCUUUGCACUGAAGACAAAUGGCCAUUGACAAG
ensembl:lncRNA